rnacentral:rRNA from 1 species
AGUGGCGCACGGGUGAGUAACGCGUAGGUAACCUGCCAUGAGGUUCGGGAUAGCCGUACGAAAGUAUGAUUAAUACCGGAUGUGCUCUUUUGAGUAAAGAUUAUCGCCUUAUGAUGGGCCUGCGUUAGAUUAGCUUGUUGGUAAGGUAACGGCUUACCAAGGCAACGAUCUAUAGCCGGGUUGAGAGACCGACCGGCCACAUUGGAACUGAGACACGGUCCAGACUCCUACGGGAGGCAGCAGCUAAGAAUCUUCCGCAAUGGACGAAAGUCUGACGGAGCGACGCCGCGUGAAUGAUGAAGGCCUUAUGGGUUGUAAAAUUCUUUUAUAGAGGACGAAUGUAUGGCGUAGGCCAUGUUGACGGUACUCUAUGAAUAAGGUCCGGCUAACUACGUGCCAGCAGCCGCGGUAAUACGUAGGGACCGAGCGUUGUUCGGAAUUAUUGGGCGUAAAGGGUACGUAGGCGGUCUAAUAAGUCAGAUGUGAAAACCUCGGGCUCAACCUGAGGCCUGCGUCUGAUACUGUUAGGCUAGAGUUAUGGAGAGGAAGGCGGAAUUCCUGGUGUAGGGGUGAAAUCUAUAGAUAUCAGGAAGAACAUCGGUAGCGAAGGCUGCCUUCUGGACAUAAACUGACGCUGAUGUACGAAAGUUAGGGUAGCAAACAGGAUUAGAGACCCUGGUAGUCCUGACUGUAAACGUUGUAUACUAGGUGGUGGCAUUUGAUCGUGCCACUGCCGUAGCUAACGCAUUAAGUAUACCGCCUGGGGAGUAUGCCGGCAACGGUGAAACUCAAAGGAAUUGACGGGGGCCCGCACAAGCAGUGGAGCAUGUUGUUUAAUUCGAUGAUACGCGAGGAACCUUACCAGGUCUUGACAUAUACCUGAAUGUUGUAGAAAUACAUCAGCCUUCGGGCAGGUAUACAGGUGCUGCAUGGUUGUCGUCAGCUCGUGCCGUGAGGUGUUGGGUUAAGUCCCGCAACGAGCGCAACCCUUAUUCUUUGUUGCUAACAGUUCGGCUGAGCACUCUAAGGAGACUGCCGGUGACAAACCGGAGGAAGGUGGGGAUGACGUCAAAUCAUCACGGCCCUUAUGACCUGGGCUACAAACGUGCUACAAUGGGCGGCACAAAGAGUUGCGAUACCGCGAGGGUGAGCUAAUCUCAAAAAACCGUCCUCAGUUCGGAUUGGAGUCUGAAACUCGACUCCAUGAAGCUGGAAUUGCUAGUAAUCGCAUAUCAGC